GUGGGGAAUAUUGCACAAUGGGGGAAACCCUGAUGCAGCGACGCCGCGUGAGUGAAGAAGUAUUUCGGUACGUAAAGCUCUAUCAGCAAGGAAGAAAAUGACGGUACUUGACUAAGAAGCCCCGGCUAACUACGUGCCAGCAGCCGCGGUAAUACGUAGGGGGCAAGCGUUAUCCGGAUUUACUGGGUGUAAAGGGAGCGUAGACGGUAUGGUAAGUCAGAUGUGAAAGCCCGGGGCUCAACCCCGGGACUGCAUUUGAAACUAGCAGACUAGAGUGCAGGAGAGGUAAGUGGAAUUCCUAGUGUAGCGGUGAAAUGCGUAGAUAUUAGGAGGAACACCAGUGGCGAAGGCGGCUUACUGGACUGUAACUGACGUUGAGGCUCGAAAGCGUGGGGAGCAAACAGGAUUAGAAACCCCGGUAGUCC
rnacentral:rRNA from 1 species